UGGCGUAAACGUAUUUAUCUUUUCAGUUUCAUCGUCUUUCUAGUCGUAUUGAUCUAUUGAAGCAUUAUUGUCUAUGAAUUAGAAUUUGGAUCUAUUUAAGGUAAUCAAACUAGCAGGGAAUAUUGUUUCUCAUAUUUAAUAUUUUGCUACUUUAUUAGUCUUCCUUUCAUGAUAUGACAUAGUCUGCGUGAUUAUCAAUUUUUUAUAUGUUAUACGUCUCAGAAUAACAAAAUAUGAUUGGAUAUGCGUACAUAUAUAUUACCUAUAAGGGCCCUUUUUUCAACUUGGCCAAGGGCCCCGAAAAACAUAGAGCCGGCCCUGUGUAUCGUGUUAGCAGGCUGGAGAAGGCGACCAAGGAUUAACACAUAGAGAAACUGAGGCUUCGGUCAUUCACCUGUGGGAACCUUCGUUUGUCUUGACGAAGGAUAUGAAUUCUACAAUGUUUAUUCCUUGGAAUAUGGUUUUGGAGUUAGGUGUGGAGCGAGCAGUAUGGAUUCUCAUGGAACUAAAUGCAUAUAGCAAUUCGUUUGCGCGUGUGAGUAAUAUCGACAAGAACACGAGGGACUUGAUUUGCCGACUAAGGGAAAACAAUGUGCCCACACAUUGCUGAUAUUGGAGCAAAGAAUUUGUGGUAUGAGGAUCUCAGUAAGACCUUGAAAACCUUGCUAGGAUCUCAGUAAGACCUUGAAAACCUUGCUAGGACCUUGAAGCUUCAUUAUGAGUUAGUAAAAACGCCCUUUAUCCAAAAAAGGAUCAAAGCAGAGGAUCCAACAUUCCAGUAUACUUUUCAGGUUGGUAGUAACUGUAGAGUGAGGCCACUACUCUGGACCAGUAGCCAGAACCUUCAGUACAAACACUUUGACGAUGUGAUUAUCUUCGACCCCACCUACAGAUCGAACAUGUAUGAAAAACCGUUCGGCCUAUUUAUUGGGGUCAACAACAACUUCAAGACCAUCGGCAGGGUGAUGAUGAGAGAUGGAAAAAUAGACCGGACAUGUGUGCUGUUCUGAAAAAGGAGCUUCUGUGUUGGUGGCAGCCGUGAUGGUAGUUUUACACAGAGUUGUAGCACGGGAAAGUGUGCCUCAUAAUUCGGAACGAGAUCCUCUCACGUAGAACAAAACUACUGCAGAGGGACGUCCAACACGGAUCACCGUCCGUGCAGCAUCCAAUGGCAACGGCUAAACACUGGCAAAACAUAGCGAAGCCAUCGGCCCAUGAGGACGAUGCGGCCCAGUCCAAUGAGAUGGUGCGAGGACGACAAAAACGCAUGAGGUCGACGGAACGCGAUAGUUUAAGUGAACACGGUGUCUUGCUCAUCGAUUUGUACGUAAAUUGUGAAUCUCUCCCUUUCUUUUUCCAUCUUCAA